rnacentral:tRNA from 1 species
GGGAAAUAGGUCAGUUGGUACAGCGCUUGCCUUGGAAGCAUGAGGAGCUGAGUUCAAGCCUCAGAAUUCCCA